CUUGCUCCUCGGGGACCCUCACGGCCCCUGCUGAGGGCGGCCGCCCGCCCAGCAGGCUGGAUGCGCAGAUGAGAAUUCAGAGGACAGUCAAGUGAAGAAGACAGAAGGGGAUUUUAUUCAAGGCACGCUGAGGAUUCUAACCCGGGAAGCAGAUUCUCAGAAGCUCUGAGAACCGUCCUGCCUGCUAAAAGCUGAAGACACAGGCACACACGUGUUCGAGACAAAGGAUCGUACCUCAGAAUGCCGUGUGCAUAUGGUACACACAGGUCACCAAGGACGCACGGCCCAGGGAAGUGCGGACAAGGUGGGAUGUUUUCUCCACCCCACGGAUGUGUGAGAGCUGCAGUAUUGCCUUGUUCCGUCCAACCUAUCUCACCGAGUGUGCUGCCCUUGGGCCCAUCCAUGCUGCUGCAGACGGUCGUGUUUCCUUUUCAUAAUUUGGUAUAGAAUAUAUAUUGAA